AGGAUAAACGCUGGCGGCGUGCCUAACACAUGCAAGUCGAACGCGCUUGCUAUCCGCGAGGAGGGUGAGCGAGUGGCGGACGGGUGAGGAACACGUGGGUGACCUACCUUUCAGUGAGGGAUACCGGCGAGAAAUUGCCGACAAGACCGCAUACGCUUCUCUUUUCAAGGGGAGAAGGAAAGCUUUUCGCAAGAGAGGCGCUGGGAGAUGGGCCUGCGGCCGAUUAGCUAGCUGGUGGGGUAAUGGCCUACCAGGGCGACGAUCGGUAGCUGGUCUGAGAGGACGAUCAGCCACACUGGGAUUGAGAACGGCCCAGACUCCUACGGGGGGCAGCAGUGAGGAAUUUUCGGCAAUGGGGGCAACCCUGACCGAGCAACGCCGCGUGCAGGACGACGGCCUUCGGGUUGUAAACUGCUUUUCUCUGGGACGAGCAAGGACGGUACCAGAGGAAGAGCCCGGCUAACUACGCGCCAGCAGCCGCGGU
rnacentral:rRNA from 1 species